CCAUUUAUAAAUAACUUUUCUUAAGAAAAAAAGUAUUUUGCCCAAGCCUGUCUGAUCUUGGAAAAUAAGCGGGGUUGGGCCUGGUUAGUCCUUGGACGGGAGACCGCCUAGGAGGAUCAGGUGCUGUAUGCG
rnacentral:rRNA from 1 species